GACGAACGCUGGCGGCGUGCCUAAUACAUGCAAGUUGAGCGCUGAAGGUUGGUUCUUGUACCAACUGGAUGAGCAGCGAACGGGUGAGUAACGCGUGGGGAAUCUGCCUUUGAGCGGGGGACAACCUUUGGAAACGAAUGCUAAUACCGCAUAAACACUUUCAACACAGGUUUUAAGUUUGAAAUAUGCCAUUGCAUCACUCAAAGAUGAUCCCGCGUUGUAUUAGCUAGUUGGUGAGGUAAAGGCUCACCAAGGCGAGGCUACAUAGCCGACCUGAGAGGAUGGUCGGCCACAUUGGGACGGAGACACGCCCCAAACUCACAGGGAAGGCAGCAGGAGGGAAUCUUCAGGAAUGGACGAAAGUCAGACCAAGCAGCGCCGCGGGAGUGAAGAGGGUUUUCGGGUCGUAAAACUCUGUUGGUAGAGAAGAACGUUGGUGAGAGUGGAAAGAUCAGCAAGUGACGGUAACGACCCAGAAAGGAACGGCUAACUACGUG
rnacentral:rRNA from 1 species